CCUUCGUUAACCCCGACACCGUUUGGUUUUCUGCGUUUCAGCCUCUGUUUUUUCACCUCUCCCUUGUUACCAAAACGACGCCGUUCAUUGUUCUCAGGGGUCUCUUGUCUUCUUCCCUACAGAUCACCGGCCUUCAAUUUCUCGACUUCCUCCAUUCUGCCGGAAAAUGAAGCUCUUUUUGAUCUCCACUAGCCAGUGUUGGGUUCUUGAAAUGGGUUGCAGCCCAUUAGAAAGGAUUGCUCCAAAAGAACUGAGGAUUCUAUAAAAUGACGGGGAUUUCACUUCCUAAGAAUAUGUCCAUAAAUGCUUCAGGUACAAACCCUAAUAGAAUAAACAACUAUAAAGUAUACAUGCAAAGUACUAAUUCUAUACAAUCAUGUGAUUGGGUUCUUGAAAGAUUCAGAUGUUAAUUUGAUGGAAGUAGGAAAAUAAAUUUGUGCAUGGAAAUAAUUUAGACACAAGUUUUAACAUUCAUUUUCACAUCUACCUUGGCUGGAGGAAUAAGUGCUUUCAACCCUAAAACAUGGCUGGAUUGAAGGGAAGAUUAAAAAGAUAUGUAGUUGAAUCUUCCAGUGAAAUUAGUGCUUUGCAUAAUUAUAAUGCAUAAUGCUUAUCUCAAUCAUGAGUUAGUUUCUUUUGGGAAAUUAGGGUAGUGGAUCCGCAAUAAUGCCUUCCUCAACUGAGUUUCCUUGUUUGUGUUAUGUUAAUGAGCUGAAUUUUAGCUACAUAGAACCCUAACUAGCACCAAAUCAUUAUGUCAAAUCUUCUUCCUCUUAUUCUAAUAACAAAGUUAGGAAUUAGUAUGAAGUCAGUAGUUCAAAGCAGGAAAACAAUAUGCCAAGCCUUUUUCCUCUUAUUCUAGUAGCAAAACAGCAGUAGAGAUGAAACCGGGACUCCCAAGACACUAACUUGGUUAGGCGCAGGGUAGUACAAGCUCCCUUGAGAAGAGGGUAUGGACAUAGCUUUUAGCAACAGUAAGUAGAAAAAAUUCUUACUAGAUUACACUUUUUUCGCCAAAAAGGAGCAGAAGAACUCUCAUCUGAAAUCUACACAGAUUUUGAAGGUGUGAGAUGCUAACAUAACUAUGUUUCUUUUACCGUAACUUUAUUUGAUUAGUUCUUUAACCAUAACUGUAUUCUUUUUGUCAUUGUGAUGUUGAGUUUCUUUUGGAACUCAUGGUUGAGCCUUCCACAGUGAGGAGAUGUCGGCCACGGCUUCUCCAACUGCCAGGUAGAGUCCAUUCAACCCAAAGGAAUCCAAUAUUUUUGACUGAUGUAGCUUUUCCAUCACAUUUCCAGCGGGAUUUGCCAACACAAACUACACGUGGAAGUGGAAAUAAGGACUGGUGUUAGAAAGUGGGCAUUUACUAGAAAAAACUAUGCAUAAUUGAUUAGAUGUUUCUUCUUACCUGAAGUGAUCUUUUCUCCAGCAUCUUUCGGAGUUCACAUAUCGCGUCAAUACCACUUGUGUCUAUUGCUGUCACAGCUGCAAGAAUGGAAAAUCAUAAGGCAAAGGUACAGGGAUAGCUGAAUUUGUUAUUUCAUUUAUAAACUUGAUUUAAAAGUUAAAAGUGCAUUGAUUGGAUGGCUUAAACCACCCAAAACCACUUAGGAAGUUGGUUUUUGAAACCGAAAUAAACCCAAACCCAACAAUAAUUGAGAAAUGGAUACACAUCUCUACAUCAGUACAGGAGACUCCACAUUGUAGAACAGCUAAGGAAAGAAAAAGGCCACCACUAUGUAAUCUUCUUGUGGGUGAAGUUCCCCUCUUAUCUGUGGUGGAUUAUUCUCUACAAACCCUAACCAACCUAUUGCCAUUCCUACCAUACAGAAUUGGAGAAAUCUCAUUUUCCCACAGAACAAACAAAUAUAUAAGCCAUCCCAAACUCAACUGGUUCUGAAUUUGCUUUAUGGAAAUAACUUGACACUUUUCAGGCAAUUGAGUGCAGCAUGAUCAUGUGCUUAUAAGCAGAGAACUGUUGAAAAUUUAGCAAAAGGUUCGUAUAUACCUGUCAUGUCUAAAAUUACACAUUUCAGCGCAUUCCCAUUGUUUGCUUGUAUCUGCUCUUCUUCCUCGCGGACCCAUCUUAGUAUCCUGGAAUAGGAGAAUUCUUCAAUCAGAUAAACUUGACACAA